rnacentral:rRNA from 1 species
AUUGAACGCUGGCGGCAGGCCUAACACAUGCAAGUCGAGCGGAGCGGCGGACGGGUGCGUAAUGCCUAGGAAUCUGCCUGGUCGUGGGGGAUAGCGUCCGGAAACGGGCGCUAAUACCGCAUCCUCUCAGAUGCGACUAGGUCGGAUUAGCUAGUUGGUGGGGUAAAGGCCGACCAAGGCGACGAUCCGUAACUGGUCUGAGAGGAUGAUCAGUCACACUGGAACUGAGACACGGUCCAGACUCCUACGGGAGGCAGCAGUGGGGAAUAUUGGACAAUGGGCGAAAGCCUGAUGCAGCCAUGCCGCGUGUGUGAAGAAGGUCUUCGGAUUGUAAAGCACUUUAAGUUGGGAGGCGUUACCAACAGAAUAAGCACCGGCUAACUCCGUGCCAGCAGCCGCGGUAAUAC